GGGUAGAGUAAUGCGUGACCAACCUGCCCCAUGCUCCAGAAUAGCUCUUGGAAACGGGUGGUAAUGCUGGAUGCUCCAACUUGACGCAUGUCUUGUUGGGAAAGUGUUUAGUGGCAUGGGAUGGGGUCGCGUCCUAUCAGCUUGUAGGCGGGGUAAUGGCCCACCUAGGCUUCGACGGGUAGCCGGCCUGAGAGGGCGGACGGCCACAUUGGACUGAGAUACGGCCCAGACUCCUACGGGAGGCAGCAGCG
rnacentral:rRNA from 1 species